rnacentral:lncRNA from 1 species
GUGUGUUUGGUGAUACAGACACAGUGAAGUCAGUGUCAGUGAAGGAGGGAGAUUCAGUCACUCUACAGAUUAAUGUUACUGAAAUACAGACAGAUGAUAAGAUUGAGUGGAAAUUCGGAACUGAGAGGAAUCUGUAGCUAAAAUUAAUGGAAAGACCAGUAAGAUAUUUGAUGGUCCUGAAGGGAGAUUCAGAGACAGACUGAAGCUGGAUCAUCAGACUGGAUCUCUGAUCAUCACAAACACCAGAACCACAGACUCUGGACUUUAUGAAGUGAAGAUCAGUAACAGCAGUUCAGAGGAUACACACAGAUUCAAUGUUACUGUGAAUGAUGCUACAACACCAGCUUCUUCAUCAACUCCUAUUCCACAUCGUAGUUCAGGUCCUCAUUCAGGUUCCCCUGCAUAUCCUUCUUCACAUCCUCCUUCACAUCCUCCUUCAGGUCCUCCUUCAGGUUCUCCUGUAGAUCCCUCUUCAGGUUCUCCAGAUAGUCCAGACAGAUUUCCGAUAGUGCUGAUCUCUGCUGCUGCUGCUGGAUCUCUGUUGCUUCUUGUUGCUGUCGGGAUCUUCUGUAUCUACAUGAAACAAAGAACAACUGAUCAACAUGCUGAGACCCAUGAAGAGGAAAUCACUUACGCUGAUCCAACAUUCCACAAAAGAAAAGCACAGAAAUCGGAGGAUGAUGUGGUGUACGCUAGUGUCGUCCACAGACGUUAAUUACAUUCUCAUCAACUGAAUGUUUCCUUAUCACUGAUGUUUUGAUCACAGUCAGUACACAUGCACACUUUGCGAUUAUUGCAACAAGCUGUAUACAUUUUGAGAAUGGUGUUCAUGCUUGCAUGCUCUGUGUAGCAGCAGCAGCUUAUGUAUUCAAGCAAACAUGGAAGAAGCUCCUUGUUUGUUUUUUGUUUGUUUUUUUUAUUACAAAAGAGUGCACAUGUGAAAUAUAACUAAAGUGACAGGAGCAUGAAACUAGCUUAGCAUUUUAGAACAAAGAUGAUUUUUGGACAUUUGUGAGUUAUCUGCUUUUUCAAAUAAACUCUCUCCCUCCCUCCUCUCUCUCUCUCUCUCUAUAUAUAUAUAUAUAUAAUAAUAGACAAUAACUAAGUUAAUUUUAAUUUUAACUAACUAACUCUCCUCCCUCCCUCCUCUCUCUCUCUCUCUAUAUAUAUAUAUAUAUAUAAAUGCAAUACAAGUAUUUAUUUACUAUUUGUAUGCAUGUAAACUAUGAACCGCAAUAUUACAUUUUUUCAAAAUUUUCUAUUGUUUUUUUGUUGUGCAAUUUAGAUUUUUUUUUUUUCUGAGUAAUUUUUGCAAUGGCUUGCUUAUUGUGAUCUUGUUAAUGUAAUGCGUUUCAGUUAAACUAAAGGUCAAAGGUUAAGCAUACUCAAAUACAGAGAAAGCUGAUUUAGUUACAUAUAUAAAAAAUAGUUACAUAAAAACAUAGGUUAGUCUCAGUUGAAUCCAAAAAACAAGUGGCCCCAGAUAUUUUAUUCUUGAGUUCCUAAUUAACACCCUGUUUUUUGUACAGAUUCUGCACAUUUAGUUUAAGUUUGUGAGUCUAGUGUCCUCUGAGCUAUUAGAAAAAAUUACAAAUCCCAUUCUCAAAAAUCAUAAAACUCACAAGUAACACCACAAGUAACAGACAUUUAUCAUACAUGAACUUAGCACAAAUUAUGUCAAAGAAUUAACCAUGUUAUAUGUUCUAGCAGUUUAUUCUCCUCAGUGCAUUCAGAUCGGAUGUAUUUAUUUAAAAACAUGAUAGUCAUUAUUCUGUUGGUGUUAAAUUCAAAUGAAAACUUUGGCAAUCUGCAGAAUGACAGUGGACCUUUCAUUUUCUGAUACUUAUCAGAAAACAGAUAGUACUGUAUUUUUACGGUACUGCAUGUAUAGAAACAUAACACACAAGGCCUCAUUGUUUAGAUCUGGAAAGAAAUGUGGGUAGACAAAUCUGUUGUGGGUAGACAGCAUGUGCAUGAGAAUGUGCUUAUUACUGGAUGUUUGUGGUUAAUGUGCAUCUGUGUGUGCAUGUCUUAAGGCGUGAAUAGUGUGAGUGUGUGUUCCUGUGAAUCGUGUAGGGUUGUUGAACUUCCACAAUUCCACUUCCUCCUUAUGCAAAACUGUUUUAUUGCACAAUAAAGUACAGAAUCCAUGAAUGCAGAUGUUUGACAAAAUUAUUAAUGUGUGAUUGUGAAAUGUUACAA